rnacentral:hammerhead_ribozyme from 1 species
CUAUUUCUGAUGAGACCCAAUCAGGUCGAAACAGCUGUCCGGUAG